GUGCUCUGUGGCUCACUUUAUUCCUCAUAGUUUUCAAUUACUUUUAUCUGGCACAUCUUUCCAUUCUAUAGCAAACGCUGUGCUCUGUGGCCCACUUCAUUCCUAAUAGUUUUCAAUUACUUUAGUCUGGCACAUCUUUCCAUUCUAUAGCAAACGCUGUGCUCUGUGGCCCACUUCAUUCCUAAUAGUUUUCAAUUACUUUAGUCUGGCACAUCUUUCCAUUCUAUAGCAAACGCUGUGCUCUGUGGCCCACUUCAUUCCUAAUAGUUUUCAAUUACUUUUAUCUGGCACAUCUUUCCAUUCUAUAGCAAACGCUGUGCUCUGUGGCUCACUUCAUUCCUAAUAGUUUUCAAUUACUUUAGUCUGGCACAUCUUUCCAUUCUAUAGCAAGCGCUGUGCUCUGUGGCUCACUUCAUUCCUAAUAGUUUUCAAUUACUUUUGUCUGGCACAUCUUUCUAUUCUAUAGCAAACUCUGUGCUCUGUGGCUCACUUCAUUCCUCAUAGUUUUCAAUUACUUUUAUCUGGCACAUCUUUCCAUUCUAUAGCAAACGCUGUGCUCUGUGGCCCACUUCAUUCCUAAUAGUUUUCAAUUACUUUUGUCUGGCACAUCUUUCCAUUCUAUAGCAAACGCUGUGCUCUGUGGCCCACUUCAUUCCUAAUAGUUUUCAAUUACUUUAGUCUGGCACAUCUUUCCAUUCUAUAGCAAACGCUGUGCUCUGUGGCCCACUUCAUUCCUAAUAGUUUUCAAUUACUUUAGUCUGGCACAUCUUUCCAUUCUAUAGCAAACGCUGUGCUCUGUGGCCCACUUCAUUCCUAAUAGUUUUCAAUUACUUUUAUCUGGCACAUCUUUCCAUUCUAUAGCAAACGCUGUGCUCUGUGGCUCACUUCAUUCCUAAUAGUUUUCAAUUACUUUAGUCUGGCACAUCUUUCCAUUCUAUAGCAAGCGCUGUGCUCUGUGGCUCACUUCAUUCCUAAUAGUUUUCAAUUACUUUUGUCUGGCACAUCUUUCUAUUCUAUAGCAAACUCUGUGCUCUGUGGCUCACUUCAUUCCUCAUAGUUUUCAAUUACUUUUAUCUGGCACAUCUUUCCAUUCUAUAGCAAACGCUGUGCUCUGUGGCCCACUUCAUUCCUAAUAGUUUUCAAUUACUUUUGUCUGGCACAUCUUUCCAUUCUAUAGCAAACGCUGUGCUCUGUGGCCCACUUCAUUCCUAAUAGUUUUCAAUUACUUUUGUCUGGCACAUCUUUCCAUUCUAUAGCAAACUCUCUGCGCUAUGGCCCGAGCUCUUUUGUGGACAUCUAGAGGAGGGGAGAUCCAAUAGGUUUGUGUGCUGCCUUUAGGCGUUCAUUAAACACAACGUGGCUCGAAUAAGGAUUCGAACUCGGGACCCCUCAAUAGGUAGUGUUAGACACCUUAUUUAUAUAGGUUAGUUAUUUUAGUUAUUUAGCGACGCACCAUAGUAGACGCAUAUUGAACGGGACUAGUGACGUUUGGGAUAUGUUGGGUUAGAGACCGGAAAAUCAGUUAGCGUUAGAACAUUCCAGGGUAACGACGUGUUUAGUGACAGAGACUUCUACUGUGGCCUUUUAUCAUAAUAAAUAUAUAUUAACUUGUUCAUCAUCGUUGACUACAUCUCUUCACCUGUUACAAUCGAUGUGCCAGUUCUUGUUUGUGUUGUUGGUCAACUACACGUAAUACACCCGAACAAUUACACCCAAACGAUUGCAGAGUAAUUGGUUGACUUCAAGACAGCCUGAACUAGCAACAUCACAGUGGCGACCCCGAACCUCGAAGCCGGACCCCUGUUGAAGCCGAACAUCGAACCGGACCUCGAAGCAGAACGUUUACUCAGGUGAGGGUCGUGCACUCGAAGAUAUAAGAUUUCAUCGGAGUACGGCUGAACACAGCAGUAUCACAGAGUGACUUUGUUCUAGAUCUACAAGCAGUCGUCGCCUGUUUGAUCGCACGUUCAACGAGCCGUUAACUCAGGGUGACCUUCGUCAGGACCGUAAUCAUCGCAACGCCUGAUCUUCAUAUGCUGAACCGACCUACAACCAGAGAAACCGUUCAUUCAUAACGGGUGAGAGAUCGUUAGUGAACCUGUUGGACAUAUUUUUUUCUUCGUCAUAGGAGCCACAUUGAGUAUCAAGUUUUACCUCGUCAGUUUCGAGAAGGACAGUUUGCCCGCUGUCAGAAGUAUUGUGAGUACUACAAGUUUGGUAGCUAACUAAAUCGAAAUCGCUCUGUCGUCUUACCCUUGGAGAGAUUCUUGUGGAGCAGUUUGCUCAUUGAACCGGUUGCUUGCCACGUUUAUAACGGUCACUGUGUUUAACCUUUGGAAGGUUAGUGAAGUAAUCUUUAUCAGUACUGAACAUUGAUCUAUCUAGUAUUCGUCGGUCUAGACCAUACCUAGACUUGUUAGCAGUGAAGUUGUGGAAACAGCUACAUCCACUUAAUUUCGUUGAAAACCGUUAGUCGUAUAACGGAACGUCGUCGGAGGUGACCUUGGUCUCACCUAGUCUACAUUGGACAGUUUGGUCUAGUGAAGCAGAGUACAACAGCAAACUUCGUCGUACUACCAGAGUAGCAGCAGAAGCAGUGAACUAUUUUAGAGAACCGUUAUUCGUCAGCCCAGAUCAAGUCAUCGUCGAGAAAGUCGUUAUUCGUCAGCCCAGAUCAAGUCAUCGUCAAGAAAGCCGUUAUUCGUCAGCCCAGAUCAAGUCAUCGUCAAGAAAUUCAUUAUUCGUCAGUCGUCCAGAUCAAGUUGCCGUCAAGAGACUGUUAUUUGUCAGUAGUCAUCUACACAAGUCAAGUCAUCGCCAGAAGAACCGUUAACCUAUUCGUCAGUAACUGUGUACACAAAGUCGUCGGAACUACACAUACGGUCAUCAACAGUCGUCGAAGAAACUGGAACAUUUUGCUGUGGCAUAUCAGGACAUCUGUGGCAUUACGUGGGAUACUGGUAGCACCGGAGAGCAGAGUCAGAACUGGAAGAGAGGCAGUGGAAUUUGUUGUGAUCUAACAUAUUCGGGAGUCCGAACAAAGGGAUCUUUCUUAUCAAAAGCUAAGUGCCAUUUUUCUUAUUAGUAUAUGUUUAGAUUGCCCUUAGAAAUAGAUUUUGUCUAAAUUUGGUACGUUAGCCUGAGUAAAAUCAGGUGGUGCGCCUUAAAACCCGUCGGGGUAGAAGACGUAAUUUAGAUGAAAAGCUAUAUUAUACGUUUAGGAUUGUAAUUUGUUUUGUUUGUGUAAACGUCAUAUCCGUUGUUGCCUGGUUACUUCGUGACGUUAUCAUUGUGUGCCAUAUUGUCACAUCCCAACCCAUAGUGAUAGUCUCAUUUAAUUAUUUCAUUUGUUUAUAUUAUUUUAAAUUAUUUAUUUUUAUUAAUUUAAUUAGAUCUGUAUUUUUUUUUUCACUUAAUGAUAGAAAGUGCGGGUAGGAUUCUUUCAUUGUGAAUCAGACUAAAAUAAUUUUAGUUUGAGCGGUUAAAAUCAAAUAUGAUUUUGCCAUGAGAAUAAUGCCGAAACUGGCUAUGUAGUCAAACACUAUCGUCUGGCUAAAUUUAGAUCUGCAAAUUGUUGUACAUCUCUUUGGUACAAUUUAAUCAUCUAGACUCUAAUUUGAAAUAUUAUUAAUUGAAAGAUGAAUGAAGAUUACUGCCAGUGAAGAACAUUUGAGAUGUGUAGGACAUGCCCAUAAGAUGCCACAUUUUCCUCCAUGAUGAACGGUGUACCAAUGAAGAUGAUUUUGGAAUGUUAUGAACUGUUAUGAACAUUGAAUAUGAGGAACUGUCAAGAUGAAGAUGUCAAGAUGAAGAUGUCAAGAUUUUAUGUUUGUGGUCUUCCCCUUAAAUUGAAAAUGCCCUCGUAAGACUUGACAGUAGUGGAAAAAUAUUGACAUAUUUUUUUUUCAAGGGGGGGAGGAAUCUGUUAGACACCUUAUUUAUAUAGGUUAGUUAUUUUAGUUAUUUAGCGACGCACCAUAGUAGACGCAUAUUGAACGGGACUAGUGACGUUUGGGAUAUGUUGGGUUAGAGACCGGAAAAUCAGUUAGCGUUAGAACAUUCCAGGGUAACGACGUGUUUAGUGACAGAGACUUCUACUGUGGCCUUUUAUCAUAAUAAAUAUAUAUUAACUUGUU